AUGGGGCCAGGCCAUUUUUUUUUUUAUUGUUCUUUCUGCUGCUUUGAGUUGGUUUCUUUUGCUCUGGGUACCUCUUUCACACUGCUACCAGAAAGAUCUUCUUUAAAAAUCAGUCUAAGGGGGGAUCCCUGGGUGGCACAGCGGUUUGGCGCCUGCCUUUGGCCCAGGGCGCGAUCCUGGAGACCCGGGAUCGAAUCCCACGUCGGGCUCCCGGUGCAUGGAGCCUGUUUCUCUCUCUGCCUGUGUCUCUGCCUCUUUCUCUCUCUGUGUGACUAUCAUAAGUAAAUAAAAAUUAAAAAAAAUAUAUCCAUAAAAAAAAAUCAGUCUAAGGGAUAUUCUUUCUGUACUUGCUCCCCAGUGCCUAAGGAAUAAGAUCCAAUGAACUCGGGGUGGCUGUCUACCUUCCUCUCCUGCCUCAUCACCCACUGCUGAGCAUCACCUGAGACCCUCUGCGCCAUCCUCACAAGACUUAUUUGACUGUCGAGUGAUUCCAUCAAGACUUGUCACCUCUCUGUGUCCUCUCCUGCUCUCCUCUGUUUCCCUUACCUGGUAACACCUAGACAUCCUUCAAGACUCAGACCAACCAUGGCUCCUCAAUCCUCAAGGUCACCUUUGGCCACUCCUAGGCAAAGUGAUAUUCUCCACCUUUACAAUUUUUGUUUCCAUUUUUGAGCCCUAACCAUGUGACUUGUAACCACCUGGUUGCCCAUAUGAAACCAGCAAUGUGGGUGCAGGACAGAUGUUAUUUUCACUUGGUAAGCCCUCAACAUUUUUUGCAAUUGAUGCAGGUGUGCAUGGCUGCUUUCUGUUGGGAGCUCUUCUGUUCAAUACUUCAUCUAGGAGUUCAUAAAAUCUGGCUAUCAUUGGUGACUAAAACAGACACACAAUCUGCCCUCAUGGGGCUCACAAUCUGAUUUCUUGUCCAUAUCUCAUAUGAUUCAACAACAAAAAAGGGUUUUCCACUUUUGUUUUGGGGAGUCUGUGUUAUCUAUAUUAUCAGAAUGAUAGUUUUCCCUUUUACUUUCCAAACAUGAAACUACCUUAUAAUAUUGAAUUUAUGUUUCCAAACUACACACACCACUCUUUCACUCCUUACUCACAUGAGCUUAUUUAAUUUUAGUUUUUACAAACCUAAGUUAAAUAUAGGUCUCUAAUUUAAAAAGCUAGUCCUCUGUCUCACCUCUUCUUCAUCUAAGGCCCUUUCUUACCUUUGUUUUGUCAUUUCAUAUUGUUUUGCUAAAUGUUGUUUAUACUGCUAUUCUUGACUAGUCAUUUUUGAAUGUCAUCUUGACUUUCUAGUAAAGAAGUGAAGAUUAGCAUUCUUUCAUGUGACCUUCCUCUCAAUACAGUGAUGGGAUAGUGCAUGCUAAUUAAAUAACUACUCAGUAUUUACAUGUUCGGAAGCCAUUAAACUCAGUUUCCAACCCACCUGCUGAUACUCUCUGUUCCGUGAUGCUGGAGCUGGUACUUUGCAAAGUACAUUUUCUCUCUGAGCAGCUGGUAAGGGAGAUACAGCACCAGCUAGCACAACCACUUUGCCCAGGUCCAUGGAGGGCUUCUUCUGAUCUGCUUGCUUCUGUUCACACCAACCCUUUGACUGCUCAGUAGUCCAGCACUGUUUACUAAAGGGUCAAUUUUUGCAUAUAUAAUUUGAGAGACUACCUUUAUCACAUACUAGAUUCCCAAAUGUACUUGGAUCUAUUUCUGGGUUUCCAACUAUAUUCCAUUAUUUGAUUCUUGUGUCCGUCCUACAUUGUUUUAAUUAUCCUGGCCUCAGAGUAUGUUUCAACAUCUGGUAGGGCUAGUUCCCCCUGACGUUUCCCUUUUUUAGUGUUUCCUGGCUCUUCUUCCAUGUUUGCUUUUCCAUUGAACUUUUUUAGUCCUACAGGUGUGGAUGAUUCCGAUAAGGUUAUUAAUGAAGAAAGACAACUUUCUAGUGAGUUCACUGCCCUACUGCAACCAGCGGCAAACAAUAGGCAUCUCUUUAUCAUGAAAGCUACUCAUCAAUGGAUUUACAUGGCUGGUGAUCUAGCUGUCCUAUCCCACUGUGCAGGGUCUGUGGCAAACAAACCACAAAUGCAAUGACAGCUUCAGGAAAAUAUGACUUUUAGCUACAAAUCACAGCCCUUUGGAAAGGAAAAGUCCUGAUAAUUUUAAAUAGCUAUUGCAAUCUCAAAACAAACAGGGUAAGUGCUUAGCUAAAAAGGUCACAUUUAGGUUUGGGGAGCAAGUUACUUAGUAGCAGAACCUACUGUCCCCAAGGGAAAAGUCACAUAAUUGGUAAAAAUCUAAUAAUGCUAGUCAAAUUAAAAUGGGCAAAACAGUAGGGUAAUAUAUAGGAGGAAAAAUGGAAAAGCUUCUACUUUCAACCCAUUUAAUUAGUCUGUGUGCAUCCAUGACAUGUCAUGUGAUGAUAAAGAGGUUAGUGUAAUAAACGGUAAAACAAUAGCUUCUCUGUCCA
rnacentral:lncRNA from 12 species